GUCCACGCCGUAAACUAUGGACACUUGGUGUUGGAGGUUUUGACCCCUUCAGUGCCGAAGCUAACGCGUUAAGUGUCCCGCCUGGGGAGUACGGUCGCAAGAUUAAAACUCAAAGAAAUUGACGGGGGCCCGCACAAGCGGUGGAGCAUGUGGUUUAAUUCGAUGCAACGCGAAAAACCUUACCUGGGUUUGACAUCUACUGGAAGACUCUCAGAAAUGAGGUCGCCUUCGGGCCGGUAGACA
rnacentral:rRNA from 1 species